rnacentral:lncRNA from 1 species
AUGACAUGGCCAAGUUGAGGAUUAUGAAUUGUGCUGAACUAGAGAUGUAAUUAAUGUGAUCCAUGAUUUUGGUAUGGAGAAGGGUAACCAAGAUACUUUUGUCAUUCUUCAACCUCUAUCAAAUAUGAUGGGAACAUCAAGGAUACUUGUGCUAUUUGGGAGCCGUUUGGCUAAUGUGGCGAAGUUUAAAAAAAAAAACUCAUGCUUUUGAAUGGGACGUGACGUAAAGCCACC